rnacentral:pre_miRNA from 1 species
GCCAGGAAGAGGAAGAAAGAGGCAACCUAAGAGCAGUGGGAAUGGGAACAUGGAGGAAAAAUGAGCUAUCAGUUUUCACUUCUAGAAAUGGAGGUGGAUAUCUGCUCAAUAUUUUCCCAAUGCCUCCCAUUCCUAUCGUUCUUAGGUGAUCCUUCCUAUUCCUUUCAGCU